rnacentral:rRNA from 1 species
CCCUUAGAUGUUCUGGGCUGCACGCGCGCUACACUGAAGCGUUCAACGAGUAUUCACCUUGCCCGGGAGGGUUGGGUAAUCUUUUGAAAACGCUUCGUGAUGGGGAUAGAUUAUUGCAAUUAUUAAUCUUCAACGAGGAAUUCCUAGUAAGCGCGAGUCAUCAGCUCGUGCUGAUUACGUCCCUGCCCUUUGUACACACCGCCCGUCGCUCCUACCGAUUGAGCAAACCGGUGAAUAGUUUGGACCGUCGGCUUUCUCGGUUCGCCGGGUUAGCAGUGCGGAAAAUUCAGUGAACCUUUUUGCUUAGAGGAAGGAGAAGUCGUAACA